AUUGUGGUGUAACAGCCAGGCGAUUUUUCCCAAAGGUAUGGUGCAGUUGUUAACUUUACAGAGACCAGAAAUUCCAAAAACAGUUCUUUAGGAUAAAAAAAAGGUGUCACUUAUAUUAAAAAAAUUUGCUCUAUUUGAUGCAGGAUUUAGGAGCAGGGUUAGAUAUAUAAGUGUUUUAGAUCCAACAAAUAUGUGUUACUAUGUAUCAGAAAUUCUGGAUGCCGGACAAAAAGGACCUCUGUUCAUGGUUUCCAUGGAGCAUUUUCCAAGUGAGGUAUUCAUUCACAUUUCAGCAGCCAGAUGCUGGGAAAUGGUG
rnacentral:misc_RNA from 1 species